GGUUAAGCGACUAAGCGUACACGGUGGAUGCCCUGGCAGUCAGAGGCGAUGAAGGACGUGCUAAUCUGCGAAAAGCGUCGGUAAGGUGAUAUGAACCGUUAUAGCCGGCGAUGUCCGAAUGGGGAAACCCAGUGCAAUUCGUUGCACUAUCGUUAACUGAAUACAUAGGUUAACGAGGCGAACCGGGGGAACUGAAACAUCUAAGUACCCCGAGGAAAAGAAAUCAACCGAGAUUCCCCCAGUAGCGGCGAGCGAACGGGGAGCAGCCCAGAGUCUGAAUCAGCUUGUGUGUUAGUGGAACGGUCUGGAAAGUCCGACGGUACAGGGUGAUAGUCCCGUACACCAAAAUGCACAGGCUGUGAACUCGAAGAGUAGGGCGGGACACGUGGUAUCCUGUCUGAAUAUGGGGGGACCAUCCUCCAAGGCUAAAUACUCCUGACUGACCGAUAGUGAACCAGUACCGUGAGGGAAAGGCGAAAAGAACCCCGGCGAGGGGAGUGAAAAAGAACCUGAAACCGUGUACGUACAAGCAGUGGGAGCACCUUCGGGUGUGACUGCGUACCUUUUGUAUAAUGGGUCAGCGACUUAUAUUCUGUAGCAAGGUUAACCGUAUAGGGGAGCCGCAGGGAAACCGAGUCUUAACUGGGCGUUAAGUUGCAGGGUAUAGACCCGAAACCCGGUGAUCUAGCCAUGGGCAGGUUGAAGGUUGGGUAACACUAACUGGAGGACCGAACCGACUAAUGUUGAAAAAUUAGCGGAUGACUUGUGGCUGGGGGUGAAAGGCCAAUCAAACCGGGAGAUAGCUGGUUCUCCCCGAAAGCUAUUUAGGUAGCGCCUCGUGAACUCAUCUUCGGGGGUAGAGCACUGUUUCGGCUAGGGGGUCAUCCCGACUUACCAACCCGAUGCAAACUACGAAUACCGAAGAAUGUUAUCACGGGAGACACACGGCGGGUGCUAACGUCCGUCGUGAAGAGGGAAACAACCCAGACCGCCAGCUAAGGUCCCAAAGUCAUGGUUAAGUGGGAAACGAUGUGGGAAGGCACAGACAGCCAGGAUGUUGGCUUAGAAGCAGCCAUCAUUUAAAGAAAGCGUAAUAGCUCACUGGUCGAGUCGGCCUGCGCGGAAGAUGUAACGGGGCUAAACCAUGCACCGAAGCUGCGGCAGCGACACUAUGUGUUGUUGGGUAGGGGAGCGUUCUGUAAGCCUGCGAAGGUGACCUGUGAGGGUUGCUGGAGGUAUCAGAAGUGCGAAUGCUGACAUAAGUAACGAUAAAGCGGGUGAAAAGCCCGCUCGCCGGAAGACCAAGGGUUCCUGUCCAACGUUAAUCGGGGCAGGGUGAGUCGACCCCUAAGGCGAGGCCGAAAGGCGUAGUCGAUGGGAAACAGGUUAAUAUUCCUGUACUUGGUGUUACUGCGAAGGGGGGACGGAGAAGGCUAUGUUAGCCGGGCGACGGUUGUCCCGGUUUAAGCAUGUAGGCUGAUUGUCCAGGCAAAUCCGGAUAAUCAAGGCUGAGGUGUGAUGACGAGGCACUACGGUGCUGAAGUAACAAAUGCCCUGCUUCCAGGAAAAGCCUCUAAGCAUCAGGUAACAUCAAAUCGUACCCCAAACCGACACAGGUGGUCAGGUAGAGAAUACCAAGGCGCUUGAGAGAACUCGGGUGAAGGAACUAGGCAAAAUGGUGCCGUAACUUCGGGAGAAGGCACGCUGGUGUGUAGGUGAAGUCCCUGCGGAUGGAGCUGAGACCAGUCGAAGAUACCAGCUGGCUGCAACUGUUUAUUAAAAACACAGCACUGUGCAAACACGAAAGUGGACGUAUACGGUGUGACGCCUGCCCGGUGCCGGAAGGUUAAUUGAUGGGGUUAUCCGUAAGGAGAAGCUCUUGAUCGAAGCCCCGGUAAACGGCGGCCGUAACUAUAACGGUCCUAAGGUAGCGAAAUUCCUUGUCGGGUAAGUUCCGACCUGCACGAAUGGCGUAAUGAUGGCCAGGCUGUCUCCACCCGAGACUCAGUGAAAUUGAACUCGCUGUGAAGAUGCAGUGUACCCGCGGCAAGACGGAAAGACCCCGUGAACCUUUACUAUAGCUUGACACUGAACAUUGAGCCUUGAUGUGUAGGAUAGGUGGGAGGCUUUGAAGCGUGGACGCCAGUCUGCGUGGAGCCAACCUUGAAAUACCACCCUUUAAUGUUUGAUGUUCUAACGUUGGCCCCUGACCGGGGUUGCGGACAGUGUCUGGUGGGUAGUUUGACUGGGGCGGUCUCCUCCCAAAGCGUAACGGAGGAGCACGAAGGUUAGCUAAUCCUGGUCGGACAUCAGGAGGUUAGUGCAAUGGCAUAAGCUAGCUUGACUGCGAGCGUGACGGCGCGAGCAGGUGCGAAAGCAGGUCAUAGUGAUCCGGUGGUUCUGAAUGGAAGGGCCAUCGCUCAACGGAUAAAAGGUACUCCGGGGAUAACAGGCUGAUACCGCCCAAGAGUUCAUAUCGACGGCGGUGUUUGGCACCUCGAUGUCGGCUCAUCACAUCCUGGGGCUGAAGUAGGUCCCAAGGGUAUGGCUGUUCGCCAUUUAAAGUGGUACGCGAGCUGGGUUUAGAACGUCGUGAGACAGUUCGGUCCCUAUCUGCCGUGGGCGCUGGAGAAUUGAGGGGGGCUGCUCCUAGUACGAGAGGACCGGAGUGGACGCAUCACUGGUGUUCGGGUUGUCAUGCCAAUGGCACUGCCCGGUAGCUAAAUGCGGAAGAGAUAAGUGCUGAAAGCAUCUAAGCACGAAACUUGCCCCGAGAUGAGUUCUCCCUGAGACUAUAAGUCUCCUGAAGGAACGUUAAAGACGAUGACGUUGAUAGGCCGGGUGUGUAAGCGCAGCGAUGCGUUGAGCUAACCGGUACUAAUGAACCGUGAGGCUUAACCUU
rnacentral:rRNA from 1 species